rnacentral:lncRNA from 1 species
ACAAAACCCAUGUAAAACAUAAGGGAAAGAGAUACAUAGUUGGCUUACAAUCGCCACUUCACGCAAUACAUGAAUAAAGCAUUAGAACAUCCAAAUACAAUUAAGGUCCGUCUACGGAACCAAAAUAAAAGAAGAACCCCAAAUGCGACACGGUCCCCGAUCGCCCCAACUGGGCUCCACUACUGAUCAACUAGAACGAAACAACACAAAGGACAAGAUCUUCAUCGAGCUCCUCCUGAGCUUGGUUGCGUCAUCUGUACGGUAACCUCGGCACCUGCAAGCUGGUUUUGGAAGUAUCUGUGAGCCACAGGGACUCAACAAUCUCGCACCCUCGUGAUCAAGACUAUUUAAGCUUAUGGGUAAGGUAAAAGGUAUGAGGUGGGCUGCAGCAAGCGACUAGCAUGUAUGGUGGCUAACCUAUUCGCAAAAGAGAGCGAGAAGAGAAAGCAAAAGCACGAUUGAACAACUAUGAUCAAGAAGUGAUCCUAGAACAACCUACGUCAAGCAUAACUCCAACAACCAUGUUCACUUCCUGGACUCCGCCGGAAAGAGACCAUCACGGUUACACACGCGGUUGAUGUAUUUUAAUUAAUGUCAACUUCAGGUUUUCUACAACCAGACAUUAACAAAUUCCCAUGUGCCCAUAACCGCGGGCACGGCUUUCGAAAGUUCAAAUCCCUGCAGGGGUGUCCCAACUUAGCCCAUCACAAGCUCUCACGGUCAACGAAGGAAUAGACCUCCUCCCGAGACAUUUCGAUUAGACUCGGUAUCCCGGUUCUACAAGACAUCCUCGACAAUGGUAAAACAGGUCCAGCAAAGCUGCCCGAUGUGCCGACAUCCUGAUGGGAGCUGCACAUAUCUCGUUCUCAGGGCAACACCGGAUAGGUCAAGCUACGAGUAAAACCAACCCUCAAGUUUCCCCGAGGUGGCCCCGCAGGCUACCCAUUUCGGACCAACACUUAGACAAGCACUGGCCCGGGGGGGUUAAAAUAAAGAUGACCCUUGGGCUGGCCUAACCCAAGGGAAAAAGAGGCUAGGUGGCAAAUGGUAAAACAAAGGUUGGGCCUUGCUGGAGGAGUUUUAUUCAAAGCGAACUGUCAAGGGGUUCCCAUUAUACCCAACCGCGUAAGGAACGCAAAAUCCGGGAACAUAACACCGAUAUGACGGAAACUAGGGCGGCAAGAGUGGAACAAAACACCAGGCAUAAGGCCGAGCCUUCCACCAUUUACCAAGUAUAUAGAUGCAUUAAUUAAAUAAGAUAUAUUGUGAUAUCCCAAUAAGUAACCAUGUUCCAACAAGGAGCAACAUCUCCAUGUUCCAACAAGGAACAAACUUCAAUCUUCACCUGCAACUAACAACGCUAUAAGAGGGGCUGAGAAAAGCGGUAAGAUAGCCAAACAACGGUUUGCUAGGACAAGGUGGGUUAGAGGCUUGGUUCAACAACAUGGGAGGCAUGAUAAGCAAGUGGUAGGCAUCGUAGCAUAAGCAUAGCAAAAGAGCGAGCAACUAGCAAGCAAAGAUAGAAGUGAUUUCGAGGGUAUUGUCAUCUUGCCUGAAAUCCCGCAAGGAAGAAGAACGAGUCCAUGAAGAAGACAAACGGAUGUAGUCGAACGGUUCCUCACAAACACGACGUUAUCGGAACCAACCCGAAGAAGAAACACUGGAAAGAAGCAAACAACAUAGUAAAAAACCAUCACAUAAUCAUGGCACGAUGCGCAAACAAGUAUGAUGCAUGGCCGGCUUAAUGAGGCAUGGCAUGGCAAAGUGCACAAACAAUCCUACAAAUUAAGUGGAGCUCAAUAUGCAACGGGUUGCAUAUUGACGAAACACCACAUUCAAGUUAUUUAGUUCGAUCUCGUUUAUGUACCCAACAAUAUUAAAUGUUGUUAGCAUGGCAAGAGGUGAAGCAAAACAAAACUACCUAUCUAGGCAAGUUUAAAUGAGGCCGGAACAACAAACAACAAGUCCGGAAAAAUCCUCAUGUGCAUAUUUUGGUUAUGGUACUGUUCGGCCCUAAACAUAAUUUUAUAGUUGUUAAACAUGCAAAGUGAUGCCACCAUGUUAAACUAUGCAAAAUUCUACCCCAUUUACAUAUAAAGAUUAUUAAAUUCCGAGUUACAGUUAUUUAGUUAUGAAUUAAAUCAUUUUAGCAUGGCAUAUAGACAAAGUUACACAAACAGCAUUUUAAACAUUUUAAACAUAUAUGAAAGUUGCAUAUUUUUAAACUAGACAAAAUUCUAAGCAACUUUCAUAUAUAAUUUAUUUAGAUCCGAUGCACGGUUAUUAAGUUAUUAUAUGCAUGAAGUUUAGGGACCUCUCUGUAAAAACUGUAGUCUCAGGUUAAAUGGACAAAUUCGCAGCGCACAAAAAAACAAAUAUGGGCUGAAUCUGUGAAGAACUGGGCUGCUCACCCAUUGACUUGACACGUGAGGCAGAG